rnacentral:rRNA from 1 species
CGGUCCAGACUCCUACGGGAGGCAGCAGUGGGGAAUAUUGCACAAUGGGCGCAAGCCUGAUGCAGCCAUGCCGCGUGUGUGAAGAAGGCCUUCGGGUUGUAAAGCACUUUCAGCGGGGAGGAAGGCGCCAAGGUUAAUAACCUUGUCGAUUGACGUUACCCGCAGAAGAAGCACCGGCUAACUCCGUGCCAGCAGCCGCGGUAAUACGGAGGGUGCAAGCGUUAAUCGGAAUUACUGGGCGUAAAGCGCACGCAGGCGGUCUGUCAAGUCGGA